rnacentral:rRNA from 1 species
CACGCCGUAAACGAUGAGUACUAGGUGUAGGGGGUAUCGACCCCCCCUGUGCCGCAGUAAACACAAUAAGUACUCCGCCUGGGAAGUACGAUCGCAAGAUUAAAACUCAAAGGAAUUGACGGGGACCCGCACAAGCAGCGGAGCAUGUGGUUUAAUUCGAAGCAACGCGAAGAACCUUACCAAGGCUUGACAUCCCUCUGACCGGUGUAGAGAUACACCUUCUCUUCGGAGCAGAGGUGACAGGUGG